rnacentral:sRNA from 1 species
GCUGGGCAUGGUGGUGCACGCCUGUAAUCCCAGAUUCUCAGGAGGCUGAGGCAGGAGGAUCACAAGUUCAAAGCCAGCCUCAGCAAUGGCGAGGUGCUUAGCAACUCAGUGAGACCCUGUCUCUA